GUUCACUUAAUUGAGUUCUACGGUGUUGUGAUAUAAUGAUUAUUUAUAUCACAGCCCCGCUUGGAACGCUAAAAUAUGAAU
rnacentral:pre_miRNA from 1 species